rnacentral:rRNA from 1 species
UACGGGGGAUGCAAGCGUUAUCCGGAAUCAUUGGGCGUAAAGCGCCUGUAGGUUGUUUAAUAAGUCUGUUGUUAAAGACUGGGGCUUAACCCCAGGAAAGCAAUGGAAACUACUAGACUAGAGUAUGGUAGGGGUAAAGGGAAUUUCUAGUGUAGCGGUGAAAUGCGUAGAUAUUAGAAAGAACACCGGUGGCGAAAGCGCUUUACUGGACCAUUACUGACACUCAGAGGCGAAAGCUAGGGUAGCCAAAGGGAUUAGAUACCCCUGUAGUCCUAGCCGUAAACGAUGGAUACUAGAUGUUGCGCUUAUUGUGCAGUGUCGUAGCUAACGCGUUAAGUAUCCCGCCUGGGGAGUACGCACGCAAGUGUG